rnacentral:rRNA from 1 species
CUACGGGGGGCUCCAGUGAGGAAUAUUGCACAAUGGGGGGAACCCUGAUGCAGCAACGCCGCGUGGAGGAUGACGCAUUUCGGUGUGUAAACUCCUUUUAUAUGUCAAGGAAAUGACGGUAGCAUAUGAAUAAGCGCCGGCUAACUCCGUGCCAGCAGCCGCGGUAAUACGGAGGGCGCAAGCGUUACUCGGAAUCACUGGGCGUAAAGGACGCGUAGGCGGGUUGAAAAGUCAGGUGUGAAAGCCUACAGCUUAACUGUAGAACUGCACUUGAAACUCUCAACCUAGAGUAUGGGAGGGGCAGAUGGAAUUAGUGGUGUAGGGGUAAAAUCCGUAGAUAUCACUAGGAAUACCUAAAGCGAAGGCGAUCUGCUGGAACAUUACUGACGCUAAGGCGUGAAAGCGUGGGGAGCAAACAGGAUUAGAUACCCCGGUAGUC